rnacentral:rRNA from 1 species
CCCUUAGAUGUUCUGGGCCGCACGCGCGCUACACUGACGAAUGCAACGAGCUUAUAACCUUGGCCGAAAGGUCUGGGUAAUCUCCAAAUUUCGUCGUGAUGGGGAUAGAUUAUUGCAAUUAUUAAUCUUCAACGAGGAAUGCCUAGUAAGCGCAAGUCAUCAGCUUGCGUUGAUUACGUCCCUGCCCUUUGUACACACCGCCCGUCGCACCUACCGAUUGAAUGGUCCGGUGAAGCCUCCGGAUUGGCGCGCACCUCGGUGCCGCCGAGAAGUUGGCUAAACCUUACCAUUUAGAGGAAGGUGAAGUCGUAACA